rnacentral:rRNA from 1 species
GAUGAACGCUGGCGGCGUGCCUAAUACAUGCAAGUCGAGCGAACAGACGAGGAGCUUGCUCCUCUGACGUUAGCGGCGGACGGGUGAGUAACACGUGGAUAACCUACCUAUAAGACUGGGAUAACUUCGGGAAACCGGAGCUAAUACCGGAUAAUAUAUUGAACCGCAUGGUUCAAUAGUGAAAGACGGUUUUGCUGUCACUUAUAGAUGGAUCCGCGCCGCAUUAGCUAGUUGGUAAGGUAACGGCUUACCAAGGCAACGAUGCGUAGCCGACCUGAGAGGGUGAUCAGCCACACUGGAACUGAGACACGGUCCAGACUCCUACGGGAGGCAGCAGUAGGGAAUCUUCCGCAAUGGGCGAAAGCUUGACGGAGCAACGCCGCGUGAGUGAUGAAGGUCUUCGGAUCGUAAAACUCUGUUAGUAGGGAAGAACAAAUGUGUAAGUAACUAUGCACGUCUUGACGGUACCUAAUCAGAAAGCCACGGCUAACUACGUG